AACACUGCCCACACGCCGGUAUAAAACAGCGUCAUUCGGCGCGAUCUGUCAGUUCGCUUCGCGCUCGCGCACCGUUCGGGUCAACAACCUUUAGAGUCAAGCAAGAACAAUUAUUUAUUGUGUUGAUUUUUGUGGAAUCUUUACUAAAGUGAGCGUGAAACAUAGUGGAAGGACAAUAUACCAUUGUAACAAGCGGAUCUAAAGUGAACAUUGUAAAAUAAAUUCGAACAGUGUUAUUUUAUGUGCAGUUUGUGGUUGACUGCAAGACGAACUAAAACUAUUUGAGAACGAUGUAACAAAUAAACGGUAUGAAGUCAAUCUCUAAUGAAAAAGUCAUCGCAGUCAAAAACUGGUAACACAAACAACCUGUAACUGGUCAACUGAACAGCUCGUAGUGGAAAUAAUAAAGUCAUCACACUGAUGAAUCAAUCUAUGGUGGAAACAACAUUGCAGCGGUGAUCUGAUUGCUGAUACUAGUGAAGGGAAUAAAGUCAUCAGACUGAUGAAACAAUCUGUGGUGGAAUAACAUCGCAGUGGUCAACUGAAAACUCGUGGCGAAAUUAAUAAAGUCAUCACACUGAUGGAACAAUCCGUGGUGCAAAAUAACAUCUCAAUGGUCAACUGAGAACAGCUCGUGGCGGGAAUAAUAAAGUCAUCACACUGAUGAAUCAAUCUGUGGUGGAAACAACAUUGCAGCGGUGAUCUGAUUGCUGAUACUAGUGAAGGGAAUAAAGUCAUCACACUGAUAAAACAAUACGUGGUGGAAUAACAUCGCAGUGGUCAACCAAGAACAGCUCGUGGCGAAAAUAAUAAAGUUAUCACACUAAUGAAACAAUCCUUGGUGGAAUUAACAUCGCAGGAGUAAACUAGCAACACAACCAACCUGUAGUGGAAAUAAAGUCAUCACACUGAUGGAACAAUCCGUGGUGCAAAAUAACAUCUCAGUGGUCAAGUGAGAACAGCUUGUGGCGGGAAUAAUAAAGUCAUCACACUGAUGGAACAGCUCGUAGUGGAAAUAAUAAAGUCAUCACACUGAUGGAACAAUCCGUGGUGCAAAAUAACAUCUCAGUGGUCAACUGAGAACAGCUCGUGGCGGGAAUAAUAAAGUCAUCACACUGAUGGAACAAUCCGUGGUGCAAAAUAACAUCUCAGUGGUCAAGUGAGAACAGCUUGUGGCGGGAAUAAUAAAGUCAUCACAGUAAUGGAACAAUCCAUGAUGGAAAUAACAUCUCAGUGGUCGCAGGAGUAAACUAGCAACACAAACAACCUGUAGUGGAAAUAAAGUCAUCACACUGAUGGAACAAUCCGUGGUGCAAAAUAACAUCUCAGUGGUCAACUGAGAACAGCUCGUGGCGGGAAUAAUAAAGUCAUCACACUGAUGGAACAAUCCGUGGUGCAAAAUAACAUCUCAGUGGUCAAGUGAGAACAGCUUGUGGCGGGAAUAAUAAAGUCAUCACACUGAUGGAACAACCCGUAGUGGAUAUAAAGUCAUCACAGAAAUAAACUGGCAACACAGAGAACUCAACAUGUAGUGGAAAUAAAGUCAUCACACAAUAAAACAAUCGGUGGUGGACAUACAGACACAUUUAUCUCAACAACUAUGAUUUAUGAGUCCUUGAUUAGAUACCAAGAUUUUACAAUCGUGGAAAAUCACAUAAAAGACCAUAUUAAGCACCGGCUUGGAAAGUAGAAAAUCAUCUAGCCUUAGUUUUAAUUUGUAAUCUUUCAUUGUAAAUAUCAUUAGUUGUAAUUUUUUAAAUAUUUUUUUUUAUGAAUUGUAAAUAGUUAAGAUUAUUGUGUAUGUUUUCCAUUUUUUAUUUUAAGUAUUUUAUUUAUGUAAUUUUUAUGUUUAUGCAUUGUAAACUGUUUACUCAUAUCAGUGAACGGAAUAAAGUCAUCACUGUGAUGAACUGAUUGCCGGAAUAGUGGUGAACUGAUGGCUGGUACCAGUGAAGGGAAUAAAGUCAUCACAGUGCUGAACUGAUUACUGGAACCAGUGAAUGGAAUAAAGUCAUCACAGCGGUGAAGUCACUGGUACCUGAAGGGGAUAAAAUCAUCAGUGUUAAACAAUUGCUAGAACCAGUGAACAGAAUAAAGUCAUUACAGUGGUAAACUGAUAGCUCGUACCAGUGAAUGGAAUAAAGUCGUCAUAGCGGUGAAGUCACUGGUACCUGAAGGGGAUAAAAUCAUCAGUGUUAAACAAUUUCUAGAAUCAGUGAACGGAAUAAAGUCAUAACAGUGGUGAAAUGAUAGCUGGUACCAGUGAAUGGAAUGAAGUCAUCACAGCGGUGAAGUCACUGGUACCUGCAGGGGAUAAAGUCAUCACAGUGUUAAACAAUGCUAGAAGCAGUGAACAGAAUAAAGUCAUUACAGUGGUGAACUAAUAGCUGGUACCAGUGAAGGGAAUAAAGUCAUCACAGCGGUGAAGUCACUGGUACCUAAAGGGGAUAAAGUCAUCACAGUGUUAAACAAUUGCUAGAACCAGUGAACAGAAUAAAGUCAUAACAGUGGUGAAAUGAUAGCUCGUACCAGUGAAUGGAAUAAAGUCAUCACAGCGGUGAAGUCACUGGUACCUGCAGGGGAUAAAGUCAUCACAGUGUUAAACAAUUGCUAGAAUCAGUGAACGGAAUAAAGUCAUUAUAGUGGUGAACUAAUAGCUGGUACCAGUGAAGGGAAUAAAGUCAUCACAGCGGUGAAGUCACUGGUACCUAAAGGGGAUAAAGUCAUCACAGUGUUAAACAAUUUCUAGAAUCAGUGAACGGAAUAAAGUCAUUAUAGUGGUGAACUAAUAGCUGGUACCAGUAAUGGGAACAAAGACAUUACAGUGAUGAACUGAUUGAUGGAACAGUGGUGAACUAAUGACUGGUACCAGUGAACGGAAUAAAGUAAUUACAGUGGUGAACUGAUAGCUGGUACCAGUGAAGGGAAUAAAGUCAUCACAGGGAUGAACUGUAUUCAUUAUUUGUAGUUUCAAGAGUAUGUAAUUGUAGAUGUAUGAGUUAGUUUUAAGUGUUUUAAAUAAAUAAGUGUAAAUUAUAAUAA